rnacentral:snRNA from 1 species
ACCGGCAGAGGGUGGUUCAAUACAACAAUUUCUUCGCCUUUUACUAAGGAAUUCCGUGGACCACCCUCAAUCCAAUGUCGCAUAACCAAUUUCUCGCUACCUCAGGUUGCCUGAGCCA